AAACUUGAGAGUUUGAUCCUGGCUCAGAACGAACGCUGGCGGCAGGCCUAACACAUGCAAGUCGAACGAGAAACCGGAGCUUGCUCCGGCGGAAAGUGGCAGACGGGUGAGUAACGCGUGGGAACCUACCCAAGGGUACGGAAUAAUGCAGGGAAACUUGUACUAAUACCGUAUACGUCCUCAGGGAGAAAGAUUUAUCGCCCCUGGAUGGGCCCGCGUUGGAUUAGCUUGUUGGUGAGGUAAUGGCUCACCAAGGCGACGAUCCAUAGCUGGUUUGAGAGGAUGAUCAGCCACACUGGGACUGAGACACGGCCCAGACUCCUACGGGAGGCAGCAGURGGGAAUMUUGCRCAAUGGRSGMAASYCUGAYGCAGCAAUGCC
rnacentral:rRNA from 1 species